CCCACUCUGUUAUCCCUGGAGUUGGCUUGGAUUCACCCUGAAGCCUUCCCCCUCCCGGGGAAAGUUGCUUCACGUUGCAGCUCAGCAGGUUUGUCCAGCUACAUAGGCUCCAGAAAACAAGAAGCAAGACUGGAAAGCUGGGGAUGAUUGUACGCCCUCGCCUGAAUCUUACGUGGUUCCUCCUUCUUCCACCUGGCCAGUGCAGAGCCGUGGGUGCCACGUGGCCACUUCUGGAUUGGGUUCCCCUUGGCCUGCCACCCUGUCCUUCUGCUUUCCCACUUUGCCAGCCAGAGUCAAUUUGAGGACGCCAAGUUCUCCUCUCCAUACAGAGCUCCUGGUCUCCUUGUAACUUGUAACUCCUGGGCACAGUUACAAGUGCUGAAUUCUUGCGAGGAUGAACUCAAGAUACAAAAUAUGCUUGGCAACUCACCCCUGAGUGGCCACAGGCACACGCAGGAGUCGAACCCACCCACCUCUGCUGACAGUCAUGGGUCAAGCUCAAAGUCCUGGCUGCUUCUCUGCUCAAGAUAGUGUCUCACUAUGUUGCCCAGGUUGGAUUCGAACUCCUGUGCUCAAAUGAUCUUCCCCUACCUCCAGGAAAUUGCCACAGCCUCCGUAACCUUCAGC
rnacentral:lncRNA from 1 species